GCUGAGAGUCUUGUGAAACUUACAACCAUGCAUAUAGCUGAAUGCAUGAUGAUUGAAGAAAUCAUACAACAGGCUAGAGAAGAAGUGAGAAAGGAUUGUUUGUUGUUUAGCCAACUGAAAUAUUUGGGACUUCAUUGUUUGCCAAGCCUCGUGUGCUUUUGUUUGGGGAAUUAUGCCCUUGAAUUCCCAACUUUGGAAAAAGUAGUAGUUAGAGAAUGCCCAAAGAUGGAGAUUUUUUCUCAGGGAGUCUUAAGCACACCAAAGCUACAAAGACUUCUACUGACAGAAUCAGAGGAUGAAGGGCGUUGGGAAGGCAACCUUAAUUCCACCAUACAAAAAUUGUUUGAAGAAAUGGUAUGGAUUAAUUGAUUCCUCAAAUUUCCCUUGCUUCUCUGUUACUCAUGCACUACUUUAUUUUAUUAUAUUUUUUCUUUCUGUUGGAGCAGUUGUCUCAAUGCCACAUAUUGAUGCCACACAUAAAACUAACACAGUGUUGUGCACUGACAAUCAUAAAUUAACAAACACUGUUUUUAUUAAUUUGGAUAAUAUAUUUUAUGGUUGUAAUAAUCCAUAAUCCUUGUACAACUUGGAAUUUGAAAAUUUAUAGUUCUAGGGGACCUCAUCUCUCAGAUAUGUAUCUGUUGUAUGGGGAAGUAAGCUGAGCAAGUUUAUCUAGCAAGGCAAUGAAACUUUUUCGUACUUUGUUGCCACAGUCGAAAGAUUAAGAAAUCUAAAUAAUAUGUAAAUGGAUGAUAUGACCAUAGCUUAAAGGAUGUUCAUGUGGCAUACAACUAUUAUCUGGUCAUUGCUCCACUAGUCUUACUCCCUAAUAAAUUUCUCCUAGAACAUGUAAGCUUUAAUGUACAUAUCCUUGUCUGUUAACUUCAAUACUUUGGUUUUGGUAGGUUGGACUCCUUGAUAUAAACUAUUUGGAACUCUCACAAUUUCCACAUCUUAAAGAAAUGUGGCAUCGACAAGCACUUCCGGUCAGCUUCUUCAGCAAUCUAAGUUGGCUGGUGGUGGAGGACUGCACAUUUUUCUCAAGCGCUAUUCCUGUCAAUCUGAUGUGGUUCUUGAACAAUUUGAAAAUUCUGGAAAUAAGCAAUUGUGAUUCACUAGAAGAGGUGUUUCAUUUGGAAGAGCUAAAUGCAAAUGAACAUUUUGGACCGUUGUUUCCUAGUCUUCGCAAGCUGAAGCUCAAAAAUCUUCCAAAGCUCAUAAGAUUCUGCAACUUCAUCGGGAAUGUAAUUAGACUGCCCUCCCUUUCCUAUAUGUGGAUUGAAAGUUGCCCUAAUAUGAUAACAUUCAUCUCCAAUUCUUCACCAGCACCCCUGACAGCAAACAAGGAACCUCAUGAAAUGACCUUAGAGGAAAACUUCCUGGCAGAUAUACAACCUCUCUUUGAUGAAAAGGUGAUUUGUUUUCUUUAUUCUAUUUAUUUUAAAAAUAAAUAAAAUAUCCCUUUACUUUUCUCUUCUUAGUUGACCCUCUUUGUAGCUCUACUUUACUUUAGAAUUAUUUUUGUUAUUUUGACUUAUGCAUUGAUUCAAUGGUAUUAUUAAUUUUCUUUAGGUAGGACUUCCUAGUUUGGAGGAAUUGGCAAUCUUAAGUAUGGAUAGCUUGAGAAAACUAUGGCAAGAUGAACUCUCUUUGCAUUCCUUCUACAAUUUAAAAUUCUUGGGAGUACAAAAGUGCAAUAAGUUAUUGAAUAUUUUUCCAUGCAAUAUGCUUGAAAGACUGCAGAAACUACAGAAGUUGCAGGUGCUUUAUUGUAGUUCAGUAAGAGAAAUAUGUGAACUCCGGGCACUCAGUGGGAGGGACACACACACUAUAAAAGCUGCUCCAUUGAGAGAAUCAGAUGCCAGUUUUGUGUUUCCUCAAUUAACUUCAUUGAGCUUAUGGUGGCUGCCAAGACUGAAAAGUUUCUAUCCCCAAGUACAGAUUUCAGAAUGGCCAAUGUUAAAGAAGUUGGACGUGGGUGGGUGUGCUGAAGUGGAGAUAUUCGCUUCAGAAGUUUUGAGCCUCCAAGAGACCCACGUGGAUAGCCAACAUAAUAUCCAAAUUCCACAAUAUUUGUUUUUUGUUGACAAGGUAUGAUCUCUAAACACGUAUAUGUUUUCGGUAGGGUGCACCAUGCAUCUUGAUGGUGUGCUUAAUUUAUCUGUAUGAAUUAUGAAAUAAUCAUUUUAGACGGUUUGUAAAAUAAUGUGACCCAUCCAGCCCUGAGUAGUAGCCAGGUGGUAGCACACCCCUACAUAUGCUUGGGGUGAAGGGUUUGAAUCUCACUGGAACCCUGUUACUAAAUUAUUUGUUGUUGUAGAUAUUUCUUCCCAAACAUUGAUGGACUUAGAUAUGUCCACAUGGGAAUAGAAAGUUAGGUUGCGUCACAACAAAAGUAAUCUAGGGUAGUUGCAAUAGACCUCUGAUUGUAAAUAUCAUUACUCCAAAAGAAAAUAAAAUAAAAUAAAACAUUAUUUGAAUUAUAACCCUGAAUUAUUGGAUCCUGAUUUUCCUAAUUCAUAUUUGACUCUGAAUGGAUUUGAUUUAUAUUUUAAGAGUAAUUUAGUUGAUUUAUAGUUUGGGUUCCUUUUUUGCUUAUUAAAUUACUUGGAGGUAUUUAUCAAUGGAGUGUUCUUGCUCGGAAAACUGUGGAAACUAGAUUUACAUUUUCAUUUAAUACUUAAUUUUGUUGAUUUCAGGUUGCAUUCCCUAGUCUGGAGGAGUUAAUGCUGUUUAGGUUGCCAAAGUUGUUGCAUCUGUGGAAGGGAAAUUCUCAUCCAAGCAAAGUUUUUCCAAAUCUGGCAAGUCUAAAACUAUCAGAAUGUACCAAGUUAGAAAAAUUGGUGCCAUCAUCCGUGUCUUUCCAAAAUCUGACAACUCUGGAGGUAUCAAAGUGUGAUGGGUUGAUUAAUUUGGUGACAUGCUCAACAGCUGAAAGUAUGGUGAAACUUGUGAGAAUGAGCAUAACUGAUUGUAAAUUAAUAGAAGAAAUCAUACAUCCAAUCAGAGAAGAUGUGAAGGAUUGUAUUGUAUUCAGCCAAUUGAAAUAUUUAGGACUGCAUUGUUUGCCCACCCUCACAAGCUUUUGUUUGGGCAAUUACACUCUUGAAUUCCCAUCUUUAGAACAGGUAAUUGUGAUGGAUUGCCUGAAGAUGAUGACUUUUUCUCAGGGAGCCUUGUGCACUCCAAAGCUACACAGAUUACAAUUAACAGAAGAAGAUGAUGAAGGUUGUUGGGAUGGGAACCUCAAUAACACAAUACAGCAAUUGUUCAAGCGAGUGGUAUGUAUUGAUUGAUUCACCAAUAUCUCUUAUGCAUCACCCUUUCACUUACUUGGUUUGUUUCUUACAUAUAAUUUUUCAAAUUUGUUCUGCUAUUCACCAUGCUUAUACACAUUUUAUAACAACAGAAUUUUCAGAAUUCUAAUGACGAAGAUUGAGCUCAUCCGGUACAUCCAAUGAAGAAACUAUCUGGAGUCAGGCUAGUCUUUACUUCUUAAGAAUGAGCACUUUUUUGGUGGGAUUGAGAAGUGCCUUAUGAAUUUACGUUGAAAUUACCUUCACCGAUCUGCUUUAGAAAGCUUUUCUUGAAAAUUGUACUGCUGCUUUUCGGCUAUCUGAUGGUUCAGUUUUCAAAUAUUGAAUGACUGUCAGGAUUAAAUUUUCUGGUCUGUGGCUGAAUUGUUUGUAUGAUAAUCUUGUCAAAUCUGGAUAUGGUAAAAACCUUUUUUUUUUUUUCACUUUUGUCUCAAUUCCUUAUCAAUGAUCAAACAGUAUACAGAUUUGGAUGGAUCGGGAUGGAUCCAUAAAAUGAGGGAUGGAUCGGGAGCCCUGAUAUUGAUCUGACUCCCAUCCCCAUACAGAUUUGGCUCCUGGCGAGGGAACGUAUGCGCUUUUAGUGAAAAUUAUACAAGUUCUUACAUUAUUUUUCACUUUUCGGUCCUUAUAUCACUUGGUUACAAAUGGUGGAGAUGAAGAGAAAUUAAUAUUGGGAUACUAGAUAUUAAUUAAAUUAAUUUUGAGAUACUAUGUAUUAAUUAAAUGUAAUUAAUAUCUAGUAGUAAAUUUAACCGCACAUCCAAAUAAAUUGACUAUCGCUUUUCUAACCCCAAUAUUCUGAGUAGUCAUUAUUCAACCUUGGCUUUACUUGAACGUUUGAUCAUACGUCAUAAGAAGUAAAAAAUAUUUGUCCCAAUUUCACAAAUUAGUAGAUUAAAAAAAAAAACAAACAAACAAACAAACGCGUAUACACACAAUUUACAGAUUUCACUUUCACAUCAAGAAAUCUGGGUAUUAGAGUUUGAGGAAGAUAAUUAAUUAUCAUGUCUGUUGACUCUACGGUGAAACUAGGCUUUCUGUAUAUGUGACGGCAUUAGCAACCCAAUUACUGCUUCCAAAUUGUACAAUUUCCUGAGUUUUAUGAUCACACAAAACCAGGUCUCCAUCAUCAUUUAUCAGCAUUACUUCACCAUUUGCUCUGAAACCUAAGUACUGCCAUGCAAAUUGUGCUCUUAAAUCAACUGUGAGCAGAUUAAUCCAAUGCUCUACUGAUCCUAUAUUCUUCAUCAUCACAUACACAUUACAAAUACCAAGUCCUGUUCUGCUAUCUUCACUAUGACUUGAAACAAACAGUGAAAUUGAUUUUUCGAGUACCCCAACUGAUAUUUCUCUAUAAUCAAUAUUGUGCAAAUGAUGUUGAUGCGAGAUUCUGGUGUCUGCUCGUUCUCUACCAGGAUCCCUCUUCAACUCUCAAAUUCACAACCAACAGCAGGUUCUCCUCGUAGCUCUUCUAACCAAGCAGAACAAUGCCCUGUAAGACUUCCUCUCCACAGACUCUUGUGUGCACAGAAACUGGUCAGAGCACGCAGGGUGUUUUCCCGGCGUAAACCCUCCGACGUUCAAGUCAGAAAUGUAGGUUUUUUCCUAGGAAACACGACCACUAAUCUUGCGGCUCUCUUAUGAUUUCUCUCUCUCUUUUCAAAGAAGAAAACUCUUCUCUUAAGUUCUAAUAUCAAAAAGUCUAACCCCUUUACCUUCGCUGAUUACCCUUUUAUAGCCUUCCUUCGAAUCCGGCCUUUCCCACGAUCCACGUUCGUCACCUCCCUCAACUCUCGGAAGUGGGUGCUUCACUAUCGUAGUUGUGGCUGAGUGGACUACAUGCCUUGAUUCUCAGAUAGGAGUGCUCGUUUCGCCAACCGUCAUGGACCGGGUCUACCCACCUGUGGUCCCGAGGAGGGUGUCUUCGUGAACGAACAGAAUACUCCUGCCCGUGGAAACCUGCUACCAGACUUCUGCUCAUCUGCUCCAUUGUAAGGAGGCUGGCUCCUCGUCCAGGGCAUGGCUGGUCUUGUCAAAGCAUAUCCCGCAAACAAAUGAUUAGGCAGCUUUCUAUCUCUGAACGUUCCAUUACCGAAAUCGAAUGACCUGAUAAUUUUUUUAUCAGUACCAUUUCUCUCUUUUCUCACUGCCAGCCAAUGUUGAGCUCCACUUAAGUGCACAGUCGAAUUCGAACUCAGGCAUGGCGUACAUGGAAUAUUAGGUUGAAUGUUUUUCAGUGAAUGAACUUGAAUCUCAUUGUGCUCGCGGUGUAAUUGUUCAGAAGCAACUUCUCUAGCGUGGACAGUAAGUAAGAUCUUGAAGUCACCAGUUCUAUGACCAUAGCCAAAUCCUAUAAUGGCAAAAGUAGCAAAUGACCCUUUCAUUUCUUUCUUCCAAACAAAAACUAGUUGUAGCAGAGGAUCCAUAUUGUUCGUUUUCCCAGUCAAAACCCUGUGACUUGGAAUUUUCUUGUAUUUUCUCGUGGAGACAUAGGAAAGUGACAACUGUGAAAGGAAUUAAACAACAAACAAAUCAACCCACUACAAGUACUAACAGUUUGCGUCGAAUUGAUGGGAAAUUUAACUUCAUCAAACUGAACCAAGUUCUUGUUGCAUCGCAAAAAAUUGUUUUCGAAAAAGUUUCCUCCUUUAUAUUGAACAAGGUUGCAACUGUUAGUAGAUUCACUUAACUUGGCAUGCAAGGCUACAAACGCUGGAUUAGAUAUCACAGAGUACCAUUGUUUGCUUGCACAUUUAAAGCGUGUCAAAAUUUUCACUGAUAAUUUUAAAAGGGUUUCAAGCAUGGACUUUGCUGGUAAGGAUUUUGACAUUGUGGCUUAUGUUUGUUCUUGCUUUUCUUUAGAGGGGAAUUAUGUUUGGGGUAAAAUUUAAGCGAUGCAUUAGUAUAUAUAGAGAGGGUAAUUAUUAAUUAUAAGAAGAACAGUUCAGCAAAGGUGCCAUCUCAUGAAUGAAUGAUUCCUUAUGCGCUACUGCUGUAGUUUUUUUUUAUGCUGCUUGUAGCUUGUGUUCGCCCAAAUUACCCAUCUUUCAUGUUCUCUCUGCGACUAUUUGGUAACUGGGACAAUUUGUAAAUACUACAGCUAUUACUAAUUUUUUACUAAAUAAACUUUUACAACUAGCUGUAUGAUUUUUUUUAAGUUCUUAGUCGAUUUGCAUUUAUGUUAUUUAGCAGCUGCAUAGGUGCUCGUGUAAUUGUCAGUUUUGUUGACUCUUGCUUUAAAGGUUAAAUUAUUUGCAGAACAAAUGCUAAUGCCAUGAAGUUAAGUUAGUAACAUGAGAUGUAAGCAAUAAGCUGAAAAUUUGGAAAAACAAAGCCAAUUGCUUUGGGAAUAAUUUGCAUUACUGAACAAUGAGAGAAGAAAAUUCACUUGCUUCAGUUAUAAGUGGCACAAACAUAAUGUACAAAUGUCUCCCCAAAGAAAAAAAAAAAUUGCAGGUAUCUCUAUCAUAUCUACUAAUGUUGGUACUUUAUGGAGAAACUAGGCUCUCUGUGUAGAUGACAGCAUUAGCAACCCAAUUACUGCUUUCACAUUGAACAACUUCCUGAGUUUUAUGAUCAUACAAGACAAGCUCCCCAUCAUCAUUUCUCAGCAUUACUUCAUCAUUUGCUCCAAAACCUAAGUACUGCCAUGCAAAUUGUGCUCUUAAAUCAACUGUGAACAGAUUAAUCCAAUGCUCUACUCCUAUAUUCUCCUUCAUCACAUACACAGUACAAAUACCAAGUCCGGCGGUAUUAUCUUCGCUAUGACAAGAAACAAACAAAGCAAUAGAUUUUUCGAGUAUCCCAAUUGAUCUCUCUCUAUGUAUAUGAUCAGUAUUGUACAAACAGUCGGGCAGCUUUCUGUAUCUGAACGUUUCAUCACCAAAAUCAAAUGACACGAUAAUGUCUUUAUUAGUACCAUCACUAUCUUUUCUUAUUGCCAUCCAAUGUACAGCUCCAUUUAAGUGCACAGUCGAAUUCGAACUCAGGCAUGGAAUGCAUGGAACAUUAGGCUGAAUCCUUCUCCAACAAUUGUUUUUCAGUGAAUAAACUUGAAUGUCACUGUACUCACGGCGAAAUUGUUCGGAAGCAACUUCUCUAGCGUGGACAAUAAGUAAAAUCUUGAAGUCACUAGUUCUAUGAUCAUAGCCAAAUCCUGUAAUGGCAAAAGAAGCAAACGACCCUUUCAUUUCUUUCUCCCAAAUAAAACUAGCGGUGGCAGAGGAUCUAUAUUGUUCUUUUUCCCAGUCAAAACUCUUGUGACUUGGAAUUUUCUUGUAUUUUCUCGUGGAGGGGUUCCAAACAAACAUGGGAAAGUGACAACUGUGAAAAGUAUUAAGCAACAAACAAACCAACCCACUGCAAGAACUAACAAUUUGCGUCGAAUUGAUGGGGAAUUUAACUUCAUCAAACUGAACCAAGUUCCUGUUGCAUAGCGAAAAAUUGUUUUCGGAAUAGUUUCCUUCUUUAUACUGAACGAGGUAGCAUUUGUUAGUUGAUUCACUUAACUUGGCAUGCAAGGCAACAAACGUAGGAUUCGAUAUCACGGAGUGCCAUUGUUUGCUUACACAUUUAAAGCGUGUUAAAGUUUUGACUGGUAAUUUUAAAAGGGUUUCAAGCAUGGACUUUGCUGGUAAAGAUUUUGACAUUGUGGCUUACGCUUGUUCUUGCUUUUCUUUAGAGGGAGAUUAUGUUUGGGAUAAAAUUCAAGCGAUGCAUUAGUAUAUAUACUUAUAUAGAGAGGGUAAUUAUUAAUUAUAACGUGUGGAGAAAGGAAACGUCGGUGUCCUUAUACGAUCGGGAAACCUAAAUUCGAAUCGAGUCCAAGUUCCGUAAACGUUAAGGAUUGUAUUUUGUUUAUUAUACAAGGAUUGUAUUUUGAUCUCCUUGUCAACAAACAUGAUCUUAUCCUUCCUUAUAAAGAAUUCAAAUUUAUUUAAUAAUAAAUACAAUUUAUUUGUUAAUUAAUCAGUGACUCUUUCCUUUCUUAUAGGGCCAAAGAUUUAUCUUCAAUUCUCAGUAGAAAUUGCAUAGAAGAAGAAAGUAUCUUAGUUGAAUAAUCCCCCAUUAUUUUAUGCGGUAGUGGAUUUUGUAUUUUACUAGGGGAAGUGGGCGAGUGAGAGACGGCUAAAAGACCGCCCAUCAUCAGCAAAGCCGAAGUAAAUACAAUUUUUAAAAAUCAAUUAAAGCAAAAUAUUUGUACAUAUAGAGGUAUUAGUUAGUAAGUAUUAAUUAAAAUGAUAACUGGGAUUAUUUUCUUAAAGAGUACUCUCGAUUAAAUGAUGGCUUCGGGCAUCUCAGAGUUUUUGUUGUUGGGUUGAAUAUCAAACUCUACCACGUACGAUACAAGGUAAAGACGGAUAAAUUAUCACUGACUUGGUAAAUGAAAUUUAAGGAGAGAAUAAUAUUGUUUGUAAUGUACUAAUUAUCUAAUUCAAAUACCUUUUUUGUGAUAGAAAAGAAGUUGUUUCCUUGGCAUGCAUGCAAGACAGAGAUAAUAUAAAAUCAGUAGUAUAUGUUUGUGUGGCGUGAGUUGGAAAUGCUACGUUGUUCGUUUUCAUAUCCAAAGACAUCCUAAAAUUGGUUUUUUUUUUCUUCCAUUUUAUUAUCUCAUGAGACUUACAAUCAGUUUGAAUAUUUGUUAUAAUAAUUUUACAGAUAUAAAGAUUGACAUUAAUUACUUAAGAUUAACUAAUCGAAAAGAAAAUAGUUGAAUCAAAAUAAUUCUUUUUAAAUUUCUAUUUCAGUCAUAGGAAAAUCAAGAAAAAUAAAGGAAAGUUUCAAGAACUCGCUUAUCUCAAAUUCAUACUUAAAUUGUAAAAAAAAAAAAAAUCCGCCUUGGCCGUACAGCAGUAGCCAACUGAAAUAUUUGGGACUUCAUUGUUUGCCAAGCCUCGUGUGCUUUUGUUUGGGGAAUUAUGCCCUUGAAUUCCCAACUUUGGAAAAAGUAGUAGUUAGAGAAUGCCCAAAGAUGGAGAUUUUUUCUCAGGGAGUCUUAAGCACACCAAAGCUACAAAGACUUCUACUGACAGAAUCAGA
rnacentral:lncRNA from 1 species